UAAUACAUGCAAGUCGAGCGAGCUUGCCUAGAUGAAUUUGGUGCUUGCACCAGAUGAAACUAGAUACAAGCGAGCGGCGGACGGGUGAGUAACACGUGGGUAACCUGCCCAAGAGACUGGGAUAACACCUGGAAACAGAUGCUAAUACCGGAUAACAACACUAGACGCAUGUCUAGAGUUUAAAAGAUGGUUCUGCUAUCACUCUUGGAUGGACCUGCGGUGCAUUAGCUAGUUGGUAAGGUAACGGCUUACCAAGGCAAUGAUGCAUAGCCGAGUUGAGAGACUGAUCGGCCACAUUGGGACUGAGACACGGCCCAAACUCCUACGGGAGGCAGCAGUAGGGAAUCUUCCACAAUGGACGCAAGUCUGAUGGAGCAACGCCGCGUGAGUGAAGAAGGGUUUCGGCUCGUAAAGCUCUGUUGGUAGUGAAGAAAGAUAGAGGUAGUAACUGGCCUUUAUUUGACGGUAAUUACUUAGAAAGUCACGGCUAACUACGUGCCAGCAGCCG
rnacentral:rRNA from 1 species